UACGGAGGGAGCGAGCGUUAAUCGGAAUUACUGGGCGUAAAGCGUGCGCAGGCGGCUUUGCAAGACAGGUGUGAAAUCCCCGGGCUCAACCUGGGAACUGCAUUUGUGACUGCAAGGCUAGAGUACGGCAGAGGGGGAUGGAAUUCCGCGUGUAGCAGUGAAAUGCGUAGAUAUGCGGAGGAACACCAAUGGCGAAGGCAAUCCCCUGGGCCUGUACUGACGCUCAUGCACGAAAGCGUGGGGAGCAAACAGG
rnacentral:rRNA from 1 species